rnacentral:rRNA from 1 species
UACGUAGGGUGCAAGCGUUAAUCGGAAUUACUGGGCGUAAAGCGUGCGCAGGCGGUUCUAUAAGACAGAUGUGAAAUCCCCGGGCUCAACCCUGGGAACUGCAUUUGUGACUGUAGAGCUGGAGUGCGGCAGAGGGGAUGGAAUUCCGCGUGUAGCAGUGAAAUGCGUAGAUAUGCGGAGGAACACCGAUGGCGAAGGCAAUCCCCUGGGCCUGCACUGACGCUCAUGCACGAAAGCGUGGGGAGCAAACAGG